rnacentral:rRNA from 1 species
AGUCGAGCGAGUCUGCCUUGAAGAUCGGAGUGCUUGCACUCUGUGAAACAAGAUACAGGCUAGCGGCGGACGGGUGAGUAACACGUGGGUAACCUGCCCAAGAGAUCGGGAUAACACCUGGAAACAGAUGCUAAUACCGGAUAACAACAGAUGAUGCCUAUCAACUGUUUAAAAGAUGGUUCUGCUAUCACUCUUGGAUGGACCUGCGGUGCAUUAGCUAGUUGGUAGGGUAACGGCCUACCAAGGCGAUGAUGCAUAGCCGAGUUGAGAGACUGAUCGGCCACAUUGGGACUGAGACACGGCCCAAACUCCUACGGGAGGCAGCAGUAGGGAAUCUUCCACAAUGGACGCAAGUCUGAUGGAGCAACGCCGCGUGAGUGAAGAAGGGUUUCGGCACGUAAAGCUCUGUUGUUGGUGAAGAAGGACAGGGGUAGUAACUGACCUUUGUUUGACGGUAAUCAAUUAGAAAGUCACGGCUAACUACGUGCCAGCAGCCGCGGUAAUACGUAGGUGGCAAGCGUUGUCCGGAUUUAUUGGGCGUAAAGCGAGUGCAGGCGGCUCGAUAAGUCUGAUGUGAAAGCCUUCGGCUCAACCGGAGAAUUGCAUCAGAAACUGUCGAGCUUGAGUACAGAAGAGGAGAGUGGAACUCCAUGUGUAGCGGUGAAAUGCGUAGAUAUAUGGAAGAACACCGGUGGCGAAGGCGGCUCUCUGGUCUGUUACUGACGCUGAGGCUCGAAAGCAUGGGUAGCGAACAGGAUUAGAUACCCUGGUAGUCCAUGCCGUANACGAUGAGUGCUAAGUGUUGGGAGGUUUCCGCCUCUCAGUGCUGCAGCUAACGCAUUAAGCACUCCGCCUGGGGAGUACGACCCGCAGGUUGAAACUCAAAGGAAUUGACGGGGGCCCGCACAAGCGGUGGAGCAUGUGGUUU